AUAUCCCUGCCGUGUUCGUUGGGAUACUUGAAGUUGGUGAGCCAACACCAGAAAAAAGGGGGCUUUACUUCCUUUAAAGCUUCGGCGAUAAAGGAGACGCCCCCACGUGUAACCAAAACGGUUCACAGCCCUUCAAGUCCGACGGCACAGUGCGGGGAUUUU
rnacentral:other from 1 species